GGGUUGUGAGGUUAAGCGACUAAGCGUACACGGUGGAUGCCCUGGCAGUCAGAGGCGAUGAAGGACGUGCUAAUCUGCGAUAAGCGUCGGUAAGGUGAUAUGAACCGUUAUAACCGGCGAUUUCCGAAUGGGGAAACCCAGUGUGUUUCGACACACUAUCAUUAACUGAAUCCAUAGGUUAAUGAGGCGAACCGGGGGAACUGAAACAUCUAAGUACCCCGAGGAAAAGAAAUCAACCGAGAUUCCCCCAGUAGCGGCGAGCGAACGGGGAGCAGCCCAGAGCCUGAAUCAGUGUGUGUGUUAGUGGAAGCGUCUGGAAAGGCGUGCGAUACAGGGUGACAGCCCCGUACACAAAAAUGCACAUGCUGUGAGCUCGAUGAGUAGGGCGGGACACGUGGUAUCCUGUCUGAAUAUGGGGGGACCAUCCUCCAAGGCUAAAUACUCCUGACUGACCGAUAGUGAACCAGUACCGUGAGGGAAAGGCGAAAAGAACCCCGGCGAGGGGAGUGAAAAAGAACCUGAAACCGUGUACGUACAAGCAGUGGGAGCCUCUUUAUGGGGUGACUGCGUACCUUUUGUAUAAUGGGUCAGCGACUUAUAUUCUGUAGCAAGGUUAACCGAAUAGGGGAGCCGAAGGGAAACCGAGUCUUAACUGGGCGUUAAGUUGCAGGGUAUAGACCCGAAACCCGGUGAUCUAGCCAUGGGCAGGUUGAAGGUUGGGUAACACUAACUGGAGGACCGAACCGACUAAUGUUGAAAAAUUAGCGGAUGACUUGUGGCUGGGGGUGAAAGGCCAAUCAAACCGGGAGAUAGCUGGUUCUCCCCGAAAGCUAUUUAGGUAGCGCCUCGUGAAUUCAUCUCCGGGGGUAGAGCACUGUUUCGGCAAGGGGGUCAUCCCGACUUACCAACCCGAUGCAAACUGCGAAUACCGGAGAAUGUUAUCACGGGAGACACACGGCGGGUGCUAACGUCCGUCGUGAAGAGGGAAACAACCCAGACCGCCAGCUAAGGUCCCAAAGUCAUGGUUAAGUGGGAAACGAUGUGGGAAGGCCCAGACAGCCAGGAUGUUGGCUUAGAAGCAGCCAUCAUUUAAAGAAAGCGUAAUAGCUCACUGGUCGAGUCGGCCUGCGCGGAAGAUGUAACGGGGCUAAACCAUGCACCGAAGCUGCGGCAGCGACACUAUGUGUUGUUGGGUAGGGGAGCGUUCUGUAAGCCUGUGAAGGUGGCCUGUGAGGGUUGCUGGAGGUAUCAGAAGUGCGAAUGCUGACAUAAGUAACGAUAAAGCGGGUGAAAAGCCCGCUCGCCGGAAGACCAAGGGUUCCUGUCCAACGUUAAUCGGGGCAGGGUGAGUCGACCCCUAAGGCGAGGCCGAAAGGCGUAGUCGAUGGGAAACAGGUUAAUAUUCCUGUACUUGGUGUUACUGCGAAGGGGGGACGGAGAAGGCUAUGUUGGCCGGGCGACGGUUGUCCCGGUUUAAGCGUGUAGGCUGGUUUUCCAGGCAAAUCCGGAAAAUCAAGGCUGAGGCGUGAUGACGAGGCACUACGGUGCUGAAGCAACAAAUGCCCUGCUUCCAGGAAAAGCCUCUAAGCAUCAGGUAACAUCAAAUCGUACCCCAAACCGACACAGGUGGUCAGGUAGAGAAUACCAAGGCGCUUGAGAGAACUCGGGUGAAGGAACUAGGCAAAAUGGUGCCGUAACUUCGGGAGAAGGCACGCUGAUAUGUAGGUGAAGUCCCUCGCGGAUGGAGCUGAAAUCAGUCGAAGAUACCAGCUGGCUGCAACUGUUUAUUAAAAACACAGCACUGUGCAAACACGAAAGUGGACGUAUACGGUGUGACGCCUGCCCGGUGCCGGAAGGUUAAUUGAUGGGGUCAGCGCAAGCGAAGCUCUUGAUCGAAGCCCCGGUAAACGGCGGCCGUAACUAUAACGGUCCUAAGGUAGCGAAAUUCCUUGUCGGGUAAGUUCCGACCUGCACGAAUGGCGUAAUGAUGGCCAGGCUGUCUCCACCCGAGACUCAGUGAAAUUGAACUCGCUGUGAAGAUGCAGUGUACCCGCGGCAAGACGGAAAGACCCCGUGAACCUUUACUAUAGCUUGACACUGAACAUUGAGCCUUGAUGUGUAGGAUAGGUGGGAGGCUUUGAAGUGUGGACGCCAGUCUGCAUGGAGCCGACCUUGAAAUACCACCCUUUAAUGUUUGAUGUUCUAACGUGGACCCGUGAUCCGGGUUGCGGACAGUGUCUGGUGGGUAGUUUGACUGGGGCGGUCUCCUCCUAAAGAGUAACGGAGGAGCACGAAGGUUGGCUAAUCCUGGUCGGACAUCAGGAGGUUAGUGCAAUGGCAUAAGCCAGCUUGACUGCGAGCGUGACGGCGCGAGCAGGUGCGAAAGCAGGUCAUAGUGAUCCGGUGGUUCUGAAUGGAAGGGCCAUCGCUCAACGGAUAAAAGGUACUCCGGGGAUAACAGGCUGAUACCGCCCAAGAGUUCAUAUCGACGGCGGUGUUUGGCACCUCGAUGUCGGCUCAUCACAUCCUGGGGCUGAAGUAGGUCCCAAGGGUAUGGCUGUUCGCCAUUUAAAGUGGUACGCGAGCUGGGUUUAGAACGUCGUGAGACAGUUCGGUCCCUAUCUGCCGUGGGCGCUGGAGAACUGAGGGGGGCUGCUCCUAGUACGAGAGGACCGGAGUGGACGCAUCACUGGUGUUCGGGUUGUCAUGCCAAUGGCACUGCCCGGUAGCUAAAUGCGGAAGAGAUAAGUGCUGAAAGCAUCUAAGCACGAAACUUGCCCCGAGAUGAGUUCUCCCUGAGACUUUAAGUCUCCUGAAGGAACGUUGAAGACGACGACGUUGAUAGGCCGGGUGUGUAAGCGCAGCGAUGCGUUGAGCUAACCGGUACUAAUGAACCGUGAGGCUUAACCUUACAACGCCGAAG
rnacentral:rRNA from 1 species